rnacentral:rRNA from 1 species
GAUGAACGCUAGCGGCAGGCCUAACACAUGCAAGUCGAGGGAGAAGCCCUUUCGGGGGCAGAAACCGGCGCACGGGUGCGUAACGCGUAUGCAACCUACCUUUCACAGGGGGAUAGCCCGAAGAAAUUUGGAUUAAUACCCCAUAAUAUAUUGGAUGGCAUCAUUUGAUAAUUAAAACUGCGGUGGUGAAAGAUGGGCAUGCGUCCUAUUAGCUAGUUGGAGUGGUAACGGCACCCCAAGGCUACGAUAGGUAGGGGUCCUGAGAGGGAGAUCCCCCACACUGGUACUGAGACAGGGACCAGACUCCUACGGGAGGCAGCAGUGAGGAAUAUUGGUCAAUGGUCGGAAGACUGAACCAGCCAUGCCGCGUGCAGGAAGAAUGCCUUAUGGGUUGUAAACUGCUUUUAGAUGGGAAGAAUAAGGCGUACGUGUACGUUGAUGACGGUACCAUAUGAAUAAGCAUCGGCUAACUCCGUG